UAACACCAUCUCUCCGAGGAAACUGCUAUAUUAGGCCUAAAGCGUGCGCAGCCGGACAAGGUAGUCCUUGGUGAAAGCUGGUCGCUCAACGAUCAGAAUUGCUGGGGAAACCACUUGUCUUGGAACAGGAAGAGGUAGACGCUACUUUUGGGGUACCGGUGAAAUGGGUACAUCCUGAAGGGAGCACCUGUGGCGAAGGCGGUCUACUGGUACUGCUUCGACGGUCAGGCACGAAAGCUAGGGGAGCAAAACGGAUUAGAUACCCGUGUAGUCCUAUGCUGUAAACGAUGCUCGUUAAGUGUCCCGGAAUUUUGGAUUCCGGGGUGCUGUUGUGAAGACUUUAAACGAGCCGCCUGGGGAGUACGUUCGCAAGGAUGAAACUUAAAGCAAUUGACGGGGCUCUACCGGAAUGCGUGAGACUUGCGGUUU
rnacentral:rRNA from 1 species